AACGUAGGAGACAAACGUUAUCCGGGGUUACUGGGCGUAAAGGGCGUGUAGGUGGUUUCGUAAGUCUGGCGUGAAAUUUUUCGGCUUAACCGGGAAAGGUCGUCGGAUACUGCGGAACUAGAGGACGGUAGAGGCGUGUGGAAUUCCGGGUGUAGUGGUGAAAUGCGUAGAGAUCCGGAGGAACACCAGUGGCGAAGGCGACACGCUGGGCCGUACCUGACACUGAUGCGCGACAGCAUGGGGAGCAAACAGG
rnacentral:rRNA from 1 species